ACAGCCGUACCAUGCUGAAUAUACCGGUUCCCGUUAGAUCACCGAAGUUAAGCAUCAUUGGGCGCGGUCAGUACUUGGGUGGGUGACCACCUGGGAACACUGCGUGCCGUU
rnacentral:rRNA from 1 species